rnacentral:rRNA from 1 species
AUUGAACGCUGGCGGCAUGCCUUACACAUGCAAGUCGAACGGCAGCACGGGUGCUUGCACCUGGUGGCGAGUGGCGAACGGGUGAGUAAUACAUCGGAACAUGUCCUGUAGUGGGGGAUAGCCCGGCGAAAGCCGGAUUAAUACCGCAUACGAUCUACGGAUGAAAGCGGGGGACCUUCGGGCCUCGCGCUAUAGGGUUGGCCGAUGGCUGAUUAGCUAGUUGGUGGGGUAAAGGCCUACCAAGGCGACGCUCAGUAGCUGGUCUGAGAGGACGACCAGCCAAACUGGGACUGAGACACGGCCCAGACUCCUACGGGAGGCAGCAGUGGGGAAUUUUGGACAAUGGGCGAAAGCCUGAUCCAGCAAUGCCGCGUGUGUGAAGAAGGCCUUCGGGUUGUAAAGCACUUUUGUCCGGAAAGAAAUCCUUGGCCCUAAUACGGUCGGGGGAUGACGGUACCGGAAGAAUAAGCACCGGCUAACUACGUG